GGUUGCAUCGUCGUGUCAAGUUGUUGGUCUUAGCGUCUAGUCUUUUAGAGUUUUGAGUUCUGGUCAUAAUUAGUGAUAGAGGCGGGGUGUCCCGAUCUUUUGAUGAGAUGAUAACUAUCGAUUUGGUGAAGAUGAUUUGAGGAUCCGACUACAAAUGUGCACGAUGUUGCGCCUUAGCAAUCGCUAAACCAAUCUCCUGGGGUUACUGACGAUGCCGGAAGCACGAUCAGCCUGACCACGAAGGUCUAUUCCUGCAAGCAAUUGAAGAACAAGCAAGAAUAUGAUAAAGCAAUCUGAAUAUUCCAAAUAUAUACGAAGUAUUGAUAAAGGUGGGGAUCCAUAAGCGGUCUUGGUCUGGUCGUUGGACACAAACAAAGUACACGAAGUUGCAAUGGCUAACUUUUAACUAAACAAAUCCCAAGGGAAAAGAUACUAGAUGGAUAUACUUAUAUAGAAGCAAGGGGUGGCGGCCAAGGAGGUGGGAGGACGUCCCAAGGCAGCCUAAAACUAACCCUAGGUCGUACAAGGCCAAUGGGCCCAAGUGGAGGUGACGUAACACCUUUGGACUUGUAGUUUGACUCGGAUUCUGCUGCAACAUCGGAUUGUUUCGUCCGUAACUCAACACUCCGGACAAAUUUUAAGGUGAAUCCAAUUGGUUUGGAAAGAGCACGAAAUCUACUUUCCAACAAAAAAGAAUCACCCAAUUCGGAGUCCGUAUGAAAAAGUUGUUGACGUUUUGAGUCAGGUAUGUCUGUGCAGUCCGAAUCUGGGUCCAGAACGUGAGAGACUUGGACUCUAUCUUCUCUUUGGCCAAAAGUGACGUGAGAGAACUUUUUGAACAACAAAUAAACAUCUCUUUCUUCCUUAUCUUCAUAUGUGGAUUGUACAAAUGUCCCAUACACCUGCAAUUAGACAAAACACAAAAGUGUGUGUAGUAUUUUUGUUCUGGAUAGCAUCAAUAGAUUAUUGAAUAGUUUGCACUAGAAAUCACCUGACAAAUAUGCAUGUAUGCAAUAUUUUUGGUCAUAUCCAAGGUAGUCAUGUCCUCAUCAUCCUCCCCUUCUUGAAAAUAAAGCCGUCCUCGGCGUUGCUUAAUCUGAAAUGUGGCUAACAAAAGAGACAAGGUGUACAUGUUGUAUAUGUAUAUGUCAUCCAUUUUUACUUCCCUCGAUUUUUGCAUAUAUGACACUUGAAUAGAUGAGUAACUUGCAUAGUUCAUAAAAUCUAAAGUAAAAAAAUUAGCCAAAAAAUAUUGCAACUCAGUUUGCACAUACAAGUGAAGCUCUUAUUAAUUUCAAAAGAUUGACAAUGUUCAUCAUUAAACCAUCCCAACAUUGGUGAAUAAACCUUACUUGCAUCAAAUUUACUUGCUACAACAUGCUUAAAUAAGCAAACAUGCAAUAAGUCAUUCAAACAGAAUCAUCACCAAGAUUAGAGGUCAUAUCAAAAUGAUUAAACAUUGAUUCUUUUGCAUCAACAGUUAAUUCAAUGGGUGCACUCAAAGUUGUUGGUAUUUCAGUUGUUUGAUCACAUGACACAUUCAUGACAGUAUCAAGAUUCUCUAAAAUAGGUGUUGUGCUCAAAUCACCAGGUAACUCAACACAUGAUGCAUUCAAGUUAACUAGGGAUGCAUCAUUCUCAUGUGAAGUUAUAUCAUCAAUACCUUUACUGUUACCUUGUCGCAAAGACGUAGCUGAUGUAGGUACAGACGUAGACAAUGCACCAUAUUCUUGAGAUGAUGUCACGCUCACAAUCCGAGGUGGGGCUGCUCUAGUAGGUGCAACGGUGGAGGAACCAACCGGCGGUGGUGAGCAUGAACUGGAAUAGUAGUUGUUGUAGUCACCUAAUGCAUCCUCCUGUAACUGUCUCUCAAAGGUACAAGCACGAACAUACAUACCAGUAAUGCAACGAGGAAUAUACUGAAAUCGUGCCUGAAUAUCAUGGUUCAAACCACCAAAAAAUCUAUUCAUUGUAUCAUUCUCAGAUUCUUCUGUGUCACAAUGAUGCAUAUAAGAUUUGAACUCUUGGUAGUAAGCAUGAACAGUGUUGUUGCCUUGUUCAAAUUGUUCAAAUUUGCGAAGCAAUUCACGACGAUAGUAAGGAGGGAAUUUUUUUUGUCUCAUUACAUCUUUCAAAUGUUUCCAAGUUUUGGGUUGGUUAUCAAUGUUUUUCUUACAAUGCACACUCCACCAAACAGAAGCAAAACCAGUAAAUGCUCUAGUGGCAGCUCGUACUCUCUCAAGUUCAGAAAAGUCACGAUGAUGAAAAACUUGUUCUACUUCAAGCUCCCAAGCUAUAUAAAUAGCAAGAUUAAAUCUACCCUCAAAUGACGGUAAAGAGAUAACCUUACCAUGUGCUUGUGUGUGUUGUCCCAACUCUCAUGAUGGUGAAGAUGUGUCCAUCGUCCAAAAACUUCUAUCUCCGGAACCUGUCAUGAUUAGUAGAAACAAGAAACAAAAUUCGAGAAUAAUGUUCCUAUGAACUACUAGGAUGUGGUUGUGUGCUCACAGUAAAGCAAAUCAAUAUCUUACAAGUUCUUACCAUGCGGCAGGUGGUGAUAGGCAACCAGCAGUGUCAAGUAACUCUGAAGAUUGUGUAAAGCGAUUUCCAGGGGAACGUACAUAUACAUGGUGUAGAAACAUGUGGAGCUGGGUUGGCUAUAUAUGGUAGCAAAAGAUUAGCAAUAAUCAAUUCAAAGAUGCAAUGUUGAAUAAACGCUCAACGACAGUACUGUGCUGGUCCUAAGCUAGACCGGUCUAGAGACGCGAGCCUAGAAUACUAAUGAGGUCACGACGUAGCACAACUAGCAUCAAUGAAGGAUACUAAGUAGCUCUGGACAGCAAGAUAUAAGUGAAGAUCACAACGGUAGUAAAGAUAAUGAUGAAAAACAACUGCCAAGCAGGAUAUACAACAACUCUCUCUCCAACUUUCCUCUUGAAAAGUUUGAGCCAAUUUUCUGACAACUUUUUUCAAAGAAUGCUACUAACUCAAGCUUUCCAAUGCAAAAAGAAUCACUCAAUUCCGAAUUGGUAUGAGGAGUCAAAGAAUUCUAAAACUGGCCUGAAAAACUAGAACAAACUGUAUGCGCGAACUUCGGAGGGCAAAAAUACUUAUUUAGAAGCUGAUUUUGAGGUGCCAAAAAUUGAACUAGCUUCUGCAACUAUUUAGAUGCGGCUCGUCGCUAGCUUUCAUUUGAGUACUCGCGGAGCCAAAACGGACUUCGUGUGAGAAAGUUAUGCAUGUUUUACUGAACAGUGCCUAAAACAGAUUCCAAUCCGAAUACAACUACGAGAUUGAGUCUAUAUAUCCGAAUUUUGUUUUUUUUCUUCUCUCUUUUUUCCCCUAACACUUUUUUUUCCUUUUUCUUUCUCUCCUUUUUUCUCUGACUUUUUUUACUUUUUUUUCUCUCUUUUUUUUCUCUGUCUUUUUUCUCUCUCCCUCCUUCCAAAACAAACUAGAUAAGAUGCAGAUUGGAUCAAGCCAAGAUGUGAACGAUCUGAACUAUGAUCAUGACAAUGAACGGUGGGUAGCACGUGAUGGCAAUUGAUGGAUGUGUAGUGGACAGGAGAAGGGAUAACGAUGCAGCGGCAGCGUGACUAAUUUGAACAAAACUCGAAAUUCUAAACGAACUAGACACUAAGACCAGCAACUGACACGACGAUGCAACCGAUAAUUCAACUAUGCAAGCAAUGAAUAGAAAAUUGCAAAGGCUCAGACUGGUUUGGAUAAAGGAUGAACAGAUCUAACUUUUUUUUGUGGCUUUUUCUUGGACAAAAGGUAAGAAAAUAAUAGAUGCGAUCUAAACUAUGAAAAACUGUGAAAUCUCACCAAGCAACCAGAAAACUGAUACCACUUAAUAGAGGCGGGGUGUCCCAAUCUUUGGAUGAGAUGAUAACUAUCAAUUUGGUGAAGAUGACUUUGACGAUCCGACUACAAACGUGCACGAUGUUGCGCCUUAGCAAUCGCUAAACCAAUCUCCUGGGGUUACUGACGAUGCCGGAAGCACGAUCAGCCUGACCACGAAGGUCUAUUCCUGCAAGCAAUCGAAGAACAAGCAAGAAUAUGAUAAAGCAAUCUGAAUAUUGCAAAUAUAUAUGAAGUAUUGAUAAACGUGGGGAUCCGUAAGCGGUCUUGGUCUGGUUUGCAAUGGCUAACUUUUAACUAAACAAAUCCCAAGGGAAAAUCUACUAGAUGGAUCUACUUAUAUAGGAGCAAGGGGUGGCGGCCAAGGAGGUGGGACGACGUCCCAAGGCAGCCUAAAACUAACCCUAGGUCGUGCAAGGCCAAUGGGCCCAAGUGGAGGUGAUGUAACACCUUUGGACUUGUAGUUUGACUCGGAUUCUGCUGCAGCAUCAGAUUGUUUCGUCCGUAACUCAACGCUCCGGACGAAUUUUAAGGUGAAUCCAAUUGGUUUGGAAAGAGCACGGAAUCUACUUUCCAACAAAAAAGAAUCACCCAAUUCGGAGUCUGUAUGAAAAAGUUGUUGACGUUUUGAGUCAGGUAUGUCUGUGCAGUCCGAAUCUGAGUCCAGAAUGUGAGAGACUUGGACUCUAUCUUCUCUUGGGCCAAAAGUGACGUGAGAGAACUUUUUGAACAACAAAUAAACAUCUCUUUCUUCCUUAUCUUCAUAAGUGGAUUGUACAAAUGUCCCAUACACCUGCAAUUAGACAAAACACAAAAGUGUGUGAAGUAUUUUUGUUCUGGAUAACAUAAAUAGAUUAUUGAAUAGUUUGCACUAGAAAUCACCUGACAAAUAUGCAUGUAUGCAAUAUUUUUGGUCAUAUCCAAGGUAGUCAUGUCCUUAUCAAGUAGUCACGCCGCCGCCGCACUAUCAUCAUCGCCCCUGCCAUCUACCACCACCGCUUAUCCGCAACCAAUCCGUAUCCAUAUAUUCGCCACCAGUCCGUGCUUCACCGCCCAUCAUAUACCAUCAUCACCAGUCCAAGUUCCACCAGAUUCAUCUCCGCCACCAGUCCUAGUCCGAGUCUAGUAUUGUUCCUUUAUUUCCGAGUUCCAGAUCACGCGAUACUAUGAGACGUGACCAAGUCCGAUUCCCCAACUUUUGUGCUACCCGCAAUAGAAAAAUAGUUCCAGUUUCAAAAAUAAAAAUAAAAAUCAGAGUGUGCUCCUCCCUUGUUCUGGAAAAUUCUGGCUAGGCAGUUUCUAGACCAUUUGUAGAUUUUUUUCAAAAAAAAUCUGUUGCGGAGCAAAAAAAAGAGGAAAAAAAGUGCAAAAAAAGUGCAAAAAAAGUGCAAAAAAAGUGAAAAAAAGAGAAAAAAAUUCAGAGUGUGCUCCUCCCUUGAUUACGUGUCGCGCCGUUAUUUUGUUAGUGUUCUAGGCUCACGUCUCUAGCACAGUCUAGCCUAGGACCAGCACAGUACCAUCGUUGAGUGUUUGUUCAACUUUGCAUCUCUGAAUUGAUUAUUGCUGACCCUUUUUACUACCAUAUUAUAAGCUUUCCCAGCUCCACAUACAUCUACGUCGUGCGUUUGACUCUCCCUGGUAAUUGCUCUAUCCAAGCUUUGAGAGUUUUGACUACAACGAUUGCCGAUCACCACCUGCUGCUGGGUAAGAACUGGUAAGAAUUUGAGAUUCGCUUGACGGAUUUGUGACACCCCACCACCACCAUAUUCCAGUAGUCUGUAGGAUCAUAUUCUUGUCUGUUUCUAUUGCUGCUAAAUAUGGCAGGAACACAAGUCGACGAGAUUGACUGGGAGAACAUGACGAACAAGGAGCUUCAUGAUAAGUUUCAUCAAAUGUUGGGUCAACAAGUGGAAAAUGUGAUGGCCAGCUUUGGAAAGGCAAUGGAGAAGAUGGAUGACAUUGAGAAGUCAAUUGACACCAAGUUGGACACCAAGUUUGAUGAAUUACUCAAACCUCUCCCACAACCAGCUCUACACCGUGAUACAGUAGGGCAAGCAUAGCGUGUUCCUAUUGAGCCAGGACAAAAUUCUGGUGCCGCUGCUACUGCUGUUGGUGCUUCUGUAGCUCCUGCUGUUACUGCAGAGGUGGAGGACUAUUACGAGGAUGAGGUUGAUCAAAAUCAGAACUACAUGCAGCCACCAACACCACCACCAGCAGGUCGACCUCAGGUAUAUAUUCACAACGGUAGGCUUGCACCACCACCUCAGGUACGAUAUAAUGACCAUAUUCCGAAACUGAAAUUGAAUAUUCCACCAUUUGAGGGUAGAUAUGUUCCUGAUAUAUAUCUUACUUGGGAGUUAGAAACUGAACAACGUUUUACAUGUUUAUAAUAUCCCGAGGAGAGACGGGUUGCUGCUGCUGUUUGUGCUUUGCAUGUGUAUGUUGGUCUGAACAUUGUAGAUUAUAUCCUAUUCCAACUACUUGGCCUGCUUUGAAAACUGCUAUGCGUACUCGUUGGGUUCCACCAUAUUAUCAACAUGAAUUGCUUCAAAAAUUGCAGUGUUUAAGACAAGGAAAAAAUUCUGUAGAAGAAUAUUAUCAUGAAUUACAAACUGGCAUGAUUAGAUGUGGUAUUGUUGAGGAGAAUGAAGCUACGCUUGCAAGUUUUAUGGGUGGAUUAAAUAGAGAGAUUCAGACCAUUCUAGAGUAUAAGGAGUAUACUAAUAUCACUCGUUUAUUCCAUCUUGCUUGUAAAGCUGAACAUGAAGUGCAGGAUCGACAAGCAUUGGCGCGAACUAACUUUUCUGCAGGUCGACUUUCAUCAUGGACACCGCGUGCAUCCUCUACUUCCACUGCACCAGCACCUCCAUCAGCUGCUACCUCCAGCCGUGAUACAAGAAAGCAGGCACAACUACCACUAUCUGCCAAGAGCGCACCUGCCGGGCCUGCACAGAGCUCUUCUUCUUCCAUGCCAUCAAUAGGGCACACAAGUGAUAUUAUUUGUCGUCAUUGUAAGGGAAGAGGACAUUAUGCGCCAUAAUGCAAAUCUCAACGUGUGAUGAUUGCUACUGAGGAUGGUGGGUAUGAGUCUGCUAGUGACUAUGAUGAGGAGACUUUGGCCCUUAUUACAAGUGAAGAACACGGUGGAGAUGAUUCUGAUCAUGAGACGGAAUACAUGGCUCCUGAAGAUGCUGACAGGUAUGAAUGUUUAGUUGCUCAACGUGUUUUGAGUGUGCAGGUUACACAAGCUGAGCAAAAUCAGAGGCAUAAUUUGUUCCAUACAAAGGGAGUUGUGAAGGAACGUUCUGUGCGCGUCAUCAUAGACGGAGGGAGCUGCAACAACUUGGCUGGCAUGGAGAUUGUGGAGAAGCUAUCUCUCACCACAAGACAACAUCCACAUCCUUACUACAUCCAAUGGUUCAACAAUUGUGGCAAGGUUAAGGUAACACGUACUGUUCGUGUGCAUUUUAGUAUCUCUACAUAUGUUGAUUAUGUUGAUUGUGAUGUGGUACCUAUGCAAGCAUGUUCCUUAUUACUUGGUCGACCAUGGCAAUUUGAUAAAAAAAAUCUGUACACCAUGCUAGAAACAAUCAGUAUACUCUUGUUCAUAAGGAUAAAAUCAUUACUUUGCUUCCUAUGACUCCUGAGUCCAUUUUGAAAGAUGAUAUUAAUAGAGCUAAUAAAGCAAAACAGGAGAAAAAUGAGAGUGAAAAUCAGAUUGUGGCAAAAGAAUUUGAGCAACAAACGAAGCCUAAUUGUAAACCAUCUAGUGUUGCUUCUGAAAUUAAAUUGAAAAGUGCAUGUUUACUUGCCACUAAAUCUGAUAUUGAUGAGCUAGAUUUCAGCAAAUCUGUUUGCUAUGCUUUUGUGUGCAAAGAGGCAUUAUUUUCAUUUGAGGACGUGUCUUCCUCUUUGCCUCCUUCUAUCACUAACAUUUUGCAGGAGUUCGCUGACGUCUUUCCACAAGACGUGCCACCGGGAUUACCUCCCAUUCGAGGGAUUGAGCAUCGGAUUGACUUAAUUCCCGGUGCAUCAUUACCCAACCGUGCACCAUACCGUACCAAUCCAGAGGAGACGAAGGAGAUUAUGUGUCAAGUACAAGAGCUGCUCGACAAAGGUUAUAUACGCGAAUCCCUUAGUCCUUCUGCUGUUCCUAUUAUUUUAGUGCCGAAAAAGGAUGGUACAUCACGUAUGUGUGUUGAUUGUAGAGGCAUUAAUAAUAUUACUAUUCGUUAUCGUUAUCCUAUUCCUAGGCUAGAUGAUAUGCUUGAUGAAUUGAGUGGCACUACAAUAUUCUCCAAGGUUGAUUUGCGUAGUGGAUACCAUCAAAUUCGUAUGAAAUUGGGAGAUGAAAGGAAAAUGGCAUUUAAAACUAAGUUUGGAUUAUAUGAGUGGUUAGUCAUGCCUUUUGGGUUAGCUAAUGCACCUAGUACAUUCAUGAGAUUAAUGAACGAAGUUUUACGUGCUUUCAUUGGACGAUUUGUGGUAAUUUACUUUGAUGACAUAUUGAUUUAUAGCAGAUCUUUGGAAGAACAUUUGGAACAUUUACGAGCUGUUUUUAUUGCUCUACGUGAUGCACGUUUUUUUGGUAACCUUGGGAAGUGCACCUUUUGCACCGACCGAGUAUCUUUUCUUGGCUAUGUUGUUACUCCACAGGGAAUUGAAGUUGACAAAGCCAAGAUUAAAGCUAUUGAGAGUUGGCCACAGCCCAAAACGGUCACACAAGUGAGGAGUUUUCUUGGCCUCGCUGGAUUCUAUAGGCGUUUUGUGAGAGAUUUCAGCACCAUUGCUGCACCUCUCAAUGAGCUUACAAAGAAAGUUGUGCCUUUUGUUUGGGGUACCGCACAGGAAGAAGCCUUCACGGUAUUGAAAGAUAAGUUGACACAUGCUCCUUUACUCCAACUUCCUGAUUUUAAUAAGACUUUUGAGCUUGAAUGUGAUGCUAGUGGAAUUGGAUUAGGAGGUGUGUUAUUACAAGAUGGCAAACCUGUUGCAUACUUUUCUGAAAAAUUGAGUGGACCUAGUUUGAAUUAUUCUACUUAUGAUAAAGAAUUGUAUGCUCUUGUUCGGACUUCAGAAACAUGGCAACAUUAUUUAUGGCCCAAAGAAUUUGUUAUACAUUCUGAUCAUGAAUCUUUGAAACAUAUUAAAAGUCAAGCUAAACUGAAUCGUAGACAUGCUAAAUGGGUUGAAUUCAUUGAGACUUUCCCUUAUGUCAUUAAACACAAGAAGGGAAAAGAAAAUGUUAUUGCUGAUGCAUUGUCUCGUCACUAUACUAUGCUUUCACAACUUGACUUCAAAAUAUUUGGUUUGGAGACCAUCAAAUAUCAAUAUGUGCAUGAUGCUGAUUUUAUAGAUGUAAUGCAGAAUUGUAAAGAUGGAAGAAUGUUGAACAAGUUCGUCGUUAAUGAUGGAUUUGUGUUCCGUGCUAACAAGCUAUGCAUUCCAGCUAGCUCCAUUCGUCUUUUGUUGUUGCAGGAGGCGCAUGGAGGAGGAUUAAUGGGACACUUUGGCGUGAAGAAGACGAAGGACGUACUUGCUACACAUUUCUUUUGGCCGAAGAUGAGACGGGAUGUUGAGCGUUUUAUUGCUCGCUGCACUACAUGUCAAAAAGCUAAGUCACGACUCAAUCCUCAUGGUUUAUAUAUGCCUUUGCCUGUACCUAGUGUUCCUCGGGAGGAUAUAUCUAUGGACUUUGUUUUAGGUUUACCUCGAACAAAGAAGGGGAGGGAUAGCAUAAGAAGAAGAAGAAGAANNNNNNNNNNNNNNNNNNNNNNNNNNNNNNNNNNNNNNNNNNNNNNNNNNNNNNNNNNNNNNNNNNNNNNNNNNNNNNNNNNNNNNNNNNNNNNNNNNNNNNNNNNNNNNNNNNNNNNNNNNNNNNNNNNNNNNNNNNNNNNNNNNNNNNNNNNNNNNNNNNNNNNNNNNNNNNNNNNNNNNNNNNNNNNNNNNNNNNNNNNNNNNNNNNNNNNNNNNNNNNNNNNNNNNNNNNNNNNNNNNNNNNNNNNNNNNNNNNNNNNNNNNNNNNNNNNNNNNNNNNNNNNNNNNNNNNNNNNNNNNNNNNNNNNNNNNNNNNNNNNNNNNNNNNNNNNNNNNNNNNNNNNNNNNNNNNNNNNNNNNNNNNNNNNNNNNNNNNNNNNNNNNNNNNNNNNNNNNNNNNNNNNNNNNNNNNNNNNNNNNNNNNNNNNNNNNNNNNNNNNNNNNNNNNNNNNNNNNNNNNNNNNNNNNNNNNNNNNNNNNNNNNNNNNNNNNNNNNAAUUAUUAUCAAGAUCGAUGUGCCACCCUACUCCUUCGGUGUCGGGUAGUGUGUGUGUGUGUGUGUAUGUUUGAGAGAGAAUCCAGUCGAUAGAUUAGUAUCAAGAUCGAGGUGUCACCCUGCUCCUUCGGUGCCGGGUAGUGUGUGUGUGUAUGUUUGAGAGAGAAGCCAGUCGAUAGAUUAGUAUCAAGAUCGAGGUGUCACCCUACUCCUUCGGUGUUGGGAAGUGUGUGUGUGUGGGGGGGGGGGGCAGUGACGCUCACAUAUCUCUACUCUUAUAGAAAAAUAGAGUUGGUGAUGAUGGUGUUCCUGCCAUCCUGCAAUAUAGGCCAUCCAAUUUAUAUUCGACGGACAGGAAGGAAAAUAUGGCAAUUUUUCAAAAAGAUACCCACACCCCUCUCCGCAUUUGCAAAUAAGGCAUUCCCUCGUUCAUCCUUUUCUCCCACAAGAUAAACUUCUCAUACAAAUGCAUCUUGAUGUUCCGUGCAACGCAUGAGCAUCUUGCUAGUAGGGAAAAGGAGUUUGUGUGACACAUAUCUAGCUAUAUUAAGGGAUAGGUAGAUAGCAUAUGUGUGAGAGACAUUAUUAUACUUUGAGACAUUAGUGGCUGUGGGUGGGCGGAAUUAAAGGGAUGGGCAUGUUAGACAUAGAGAGCGUGUGUGUUUCAAUGUGUGCUGUUCAUAUUCACAACACACUGGUUGAAUAAGUUCCUAUAAAAGAUAUCUAAAUUGUGUAAGGCUGCCUAAGUCUAGCCAAAAUGAAAGAAAAAUGUGCAUUUACCAAGCAUGUGGUAAGAAGAUAAGAAUCCACCUCGGAUAAAUAAGACACUCUGCAAGAGAAAGGAGAAUUGACCAAUUCAUGCACAGACAAUCUGAGAAUUGCUCCCAGCAUCCAACACGAAGAUCUGGAUGGCACCCAGCACCUAUCCAUCCUUACGAAGACCUUAAAAUUACAUUCAACGUCCAAAGGGGGGAUAACAACCAGUACUUGUACUUACCAAGACCAAAAAGAGGCAACAAAAAAGACAAGGCAAGCCGAGCAUCUGUUUUAGUAAGUACACAUCAAAGUAGCAAGGCAAAAGUUGGUACAUCUUGGUUAUAGUUUUCAUCAUCAGUGGGAAUAUCAUCCCACAAUAAUCAGACAACAUUAUUAACUCUAUGCCCAAACCAUAUUGCCAUCAGUCUUCAUGUAAGGCACUUUUCGGUUUAACACGUGGACUGGAAGGCAAUAUAAGCCAUUCUCUGAACCUUCAUGCAAAAAAUUAAUCAUCCAAAAGUGGAAGUGGCUGACUAACAGCACAUAGUUGACCAAUUACACAUAGCUGAAAAACAGUACUAAUUCUACAAUGGUAGAUCGGCACAUUUAUCUACCAAAUGGUGUGGUAAGAACUGGAUAACAUGAUAAAGAUAAGCAGCUAAAAUUGUAUAAGUUAUGCAGCUCAAACCUUCAAAAUAUUCAGUAAACUGAUGUACUGAAAACAAUGUCACCUUUGCUUACCUAGUUGAGAUCAUGCCAUCGAUCCACAUAGCAAAGAUCAAUCAUGCCACUUGUCGAAAUGAUGCAGCCACUGCCAAUAGUAAAGCUCUCUCCACAUAUCCCUACCGAAGUGAAAAAUAAGCAAAUUAAUUUUUUUGUAUAAAAUCACACUUAAAUAAGCAAAUUAGAGGCAAUACGCACCAUACCUUGUGGAGCCAAGAGAUGGAGACGUACCUUCCAUGGCUUGAUCAGAGAGCAAGCCAACAAGAGGAGAAGAGAAAGUCCACAACCUGCAAGCUCAAGAAGCAUAGCUCGUCGUUGAGGCGAGGAAGGAAACAAAUCUGUAUCCCCAGUCGCGUCGUUUCACAACGCGACGACCAUAGGCAUACCCUCGUUCACCCUUGCGUUGUCGCCCUCUUCCUUGGCCUCCAACCCCUCACGGUCGCCCUCUUCCUCGGCCAGUUCCACCCCCGUGCCAUUGCCCAAUUCCUCGGGGCGAGGAGGAGGGAGGGGGGAUUGGGAGACAGGAUAGAAAACCGGAGGCGGGCGUCCCUGUGCAGCGCCGCCGCUGGCCGUGCCGGCUUCCCUCGCGACCUGCUCCUCCAGUCCUCGUGCAAAGAGAUGCGGUCGGGUCGGCCUGCUCCUUCCCCUUGUCCCCGACUGUUGCGCUGCUAGGCUCAGCAACAAGGACAUGUUGAGGAGGCAAAGACGGGCGGCGGACCUCCUUCAUCUCCGUUGCAGCUGCACCCCACCAGAGCAGCUCUUCUCCGGCACGGAUCCGCCGUCUGUGUGCACCUACGGUGGUGGAGAGGGAGUAGGAGGCCCGGGCGAGGCUCCUAGGGCGGAGGCCACGGCGAGGAGCGAGGAGGAGGGAGGGGUUGUGGGGAUGGGCCCUGGCGAGGAACGAGGAAGAGGGAGGGGCUGUGGGGAUCGAUGAGGAAGGGGCUAGGCUUGUGUGGCGGCUGGUGUGGAGCGGGACGGAAGAGAGUGGGAUUGGGCACAGUGCGUGGAGCGGAUUGGCAAAGCUUUUUGCACGCGGCACGACACGAGCGGCUGCCUCACGCCCCCGCACCAGGAAAAGCAACACCCAGCCGUUUCGAUCCAAGUGGCCACAGCACCGACCCACACAUCAUCCCUCGCCACGAUCCACCGAUCGGUAAAAACAAGUGCGCAGAAUUCCAGCGACGAUCGAACGACCAAUGCGCGAAAAAAGACCUGGUCAAUGCCGAUCGAACGGCCAACGAAGAAUGCCAUCGGGGGAGCUCCUUGGGAGCGAGUUGCCCAGCCUUUGUUUUGUUUUAAAUAACCAAUGGCAUUAAAUUAUCUAUUUACACGAGAAAUACAUAGGCUGAGCAUUUGAUUCCUUUUUUUGUGAACGCGCCACUACACCGUUAUGAUUGGCCGCGCCCGCGUGAACGUCCAAGUUAUCGGCGCAUCAUCCCGAGUUAUUGUCUUUUUUUUCCGGGGUGGACUUCACACCAGUUAUUAACUGCUGACGCGUGCCUCGUGUACACAGUCUAUCAUGACCUUCCCGCUAGCACGGUCCAAAAUUAGUUGAAACUGGAUACGAACGAUCCCGCGGGCUGCAAAAUCUUCCGCCUCCUUCUAAAAUUUCCGCCACCUUAGUCUUUAGCAUGCGAAAUCCCCCUUUUGUCCUUGGUGCACAGAGACCAACAGUUACAAUACCGCCCUCAUCUACAUGAUAGGUCGGGGCUGCUUUGGUAACUUCCGGUUCCCCCCAGUACACGGCACCCCCGUUUCCUCUCCCCCUCCUGCAAAAACGACUAACUCCACAGCACCAGAACAUCUUACAUCACGCCGUCCGUACUUCAUGGCCCUUUCUCCCCUCCCCUCUCGAAACCCUAGACUGCUCAUCCACCGGCGUACCAUAGCCCAUUCACUGCCAGCAGCGUCCACCUCGCCGGAUCUGCUUCUACGGCCGCAUCUACCCCUCCCACCUCCCCUAGAAACAAGUAGACUGCUCAUCCACCACUGUACCACAACCCAUUCAGUGUCGGCCUUGUCCACGGCGCCGGAUCUGCUUCGCUGGUACUCUCGUCAACCGCCGCGCAUCUACAGCGACUCAUUCGUACUCCCCACCGGAGAUGCUUCGUCCACACACCCCGGAGCCGCCCCACCGAUGCCCCCGUCGACGGCCUCUGAUCCUCUUCGCCGACACCUUACUCAACCCUACCGGAGCCGCUUCACCGACACCUUCCUCAACCCUACUGGAGUCGCUUCGCCGACACCAUCGUCAACCCUACCAGAGUAGCUUCGCCUAUACCAUUCUCAACCCUACCGGGGCUACUUUGCCAACUCACAAGUCCACGGCCUCAGAUCCGCUUCCUCGCACCCUCAUCCAACCUACCGGAGCAGCUUCUGACGCCCCGUCCACGCCGCAGAUCCGCAUCGUCGACACCACCCUUAACCCAACCACUGGAGCAGGUUCUAACGCCCCGUCCACGGCCACAGAUCCGCAUCGUCGACACCAUCCUUAACCCAACCACCGGAGCAGCUUCUGACGCCCCGUUCACGGUCGUAGAUCCGCGUCGUCGACACCAUCCUUAACCCAACCACCGGAGCAGCUUCACCUACGCCCUCGUCCACGGCCACAGACCCGCUUCGCCCACACCGUAGUCCACCCUACCGGAGCCGCUCCACAAACACCCUACUCGACGGUUCUAGAUCUCCUUACCGGACCCCGACAGCCAGCGCGGCGUCAUCACCCUCGACGUUUCUAACCUAAUUCCCAACGUCUGGAGAGAUGCCAAGCACCCGCCACGGCCUAGGUACUUGUCACCUUUAAACCCGUGCAGCAUCACCUGCCCAAUGUACUUCAAAUAUACUAACUGGUCGCUGUUACCUGUUAUGCAGCUGGCAAAAACUACAAAGACGAUGUUUCUUCUGGAUCUAACAGCUUGGCCAACCAAGAUCCUGGACUGAGGCAUUGCUAUGAUCUUGUAAGCGCGUCUCUCUCUCUCUCUCUCUCUCUCUCUCUCUCUCUCUCUCUCUUGUAUUGUUCUGUGCCUGCCAGCGUGCUUUGCUAGGAUUUUCGACCAGUAAUCCCUUUGUGCAGACAAUGAUUUCUACUACUGGCUGCUAAAUUAGAUAUGUAGAUGUCAUACAUGAUACUACCUCGUACCUCUGUUCCUAAAUAUAAGUCUUUCUAGAGAUUCCACUAUAGGCUACAUACGGAGCAAAAUGAGUGAAUCUACACUCGAAAAUGCAUCUAUAUACAUCUGUAUGUGGUCCAUACUGGAAUCUCCACAAAGACAUAUAUUUAGGAACAGGGGCAGUACAUUACACAAAAUCGUAGGUGGCAUGUAGGAAUUCCAGUGCACUACAUUAGGCUCCCUUAGAGUGCCUGCUAGUCCAGCAUAUAGAGUCAUGGCUAGUUUAUGUUACGCACACAAUCGUUAAUUGGUGGUUUAAAUAUGCGCAAGGGAUAUGCAAUGUAGUAUCAUGUAGAUAUGUCUGAAAUUAGCCGUGUCAACUUGCAGAUAGGGUUACACAAUGAAAAAGUACAAUAUGUAUGUGGCAAUUUCAUGGAACAUCGCAAAAAAAGGAGAGGCAGCGGUGAGCCUAUACAGUGUGCUAUGGUACGUAACUCCUCCAUUGCAAUCAUCAUGACAUGUUAUUUGUAUGCCAGUUCUAUUGGCCAAGUUUCUUAGGGACAGUUAUUAUGAGUUAUCCUAAGAAAAUAAGCACCUGUGAAUAUAAGCUCCAUGUAAUAAGCCAACCAGUUCUUUUCAUUGCAUUUUUAGCUUAUCUUUGGUAUGAUCAGUGGAAAGUUUAGAUUGCAUUAUAUAUUUUUCAUUUUGCUUCCCAUAUGGAAAUUAAUUUGACGUGCAAACAUCACAAAUUGAACCCAGUGCGGUAAUUAAUAUGAUAGGAAAACAGACCAUCACUAUUUGCUCAAAAUGCAAAUACAAAGAUACCAUCUACUUGGCACAAUCUACUUUGGUCAAUGUUUUCCAUAGAGAUCCCAUUGCCUAAUUUAAACAAAUAACACAUGACCCACAUUUAAAUGAAGAACAAUUAUUUAUUGAAAUUUGAUGGUCCAAGUGGCUGGUUAUUAUCAUAUAGCAGCACCACCAGAAAGCAUCAUAUAGCAGCAGCAGCUCAAAGAAACUCAUCAUAUAGCAGCAGCAGUCUACAAUUCAUCAUAUACCAGCAGCAGCUCAUAGCAGUUCAUCAUAUAGCAGGAGCAGGAGCAGCUUAUAGCAAUUCAUCAUAUAGCAGCAGUAGGAGCAGCUCAUAGCAAUUCAUCAUAUAGCAGCAGCAGGAGCAACUUGUAGUAACUCACCACAUAGCAGCAACACCAGCUCAUAGCAAUUCAUCAUAUAGCAGCAGCAGCAGCAGCUCAUAGCAACUCAUCAUACAGCAGCCGCAGCAGCUCAUAGCAAUUCAUCAUAUAGCAGCAGCAGGAGCAACUCAUAGCAAUGCAUCAUAUAGCAGCAACAGAAGCAGCUCAUAGCAAUUCAUCGUAUAGUGAAUCAGAAUAAAAAUUUGGCAAAAAAUCAGAGGAGAUCCUCACCUUGUUGGAUGAGCUCAUCCUUCAACAACACCUCAAGGCCAUGGUCUGGGAGGAGGGGAGGGGGAAUAAGGUGCCUUCUGCUGCAGUGUGGCAUCAGCCGUAGUUGUGCAGCGCCCGUCGGAGUAGUGCAUUGGACGAACCACAGUAGAGCAGCUGCUGGAGACCAUGAGAAUGAGGGGCGGCGCCAGAGGGAGGAUCAGCCAGGGAGAUUUGCCCCUACCCGCCGGCCAUGUAGCCUAGCUGGACAUAGCAUCGUCGAGGACCAGGCCAGAUGGGACCAAUGGAGACGGCUCGCUGGAGGAACCCUAGUGUUGCAGGCAGGGGAUCGAGGUAGAGGGAAAGGGGAGAGGAGAUGCAAGCGGGCAGGGCAAUGAAUGCUUGCAUGCUUGUUUUUACUUCAGGGUCAGGUGUGACAUGGGCGUCAGCAGCUGCAUUUUGAGUGUAAUAUAGGCAGACAAUAGAGUCAUUUCACUAUUCCCCUUCCCUUCAAUUUUUAGUGAGGUUCUACCCGAAACACCACAGUAGGCUCUCCAAGAGUACCUGGAGAUCCAGUUCGAAGGCAGGCCUAGUUUUUACAUAGUGCAGACAUAGUAAAUGCUCAUUUCAUUGUGUGCAAGUGCAAGAGAUGCGGCAUGUUUCAUUAUGUGGUGUUGUUUUGUUAUAAUCUCAUCCUUUUGUGUUCACAAACUGGAAAGUAUGCAUAUUUAUCUUCCAAGGAGACGAGUAACUAGUUUGUGUCACCUUCCAGAGGGGGUGCAAUGAAGAUAGGAUUGAGGAUUUCCAAGUACAAGAUGUUAGGAAGGAGCCAUGCAAGAGAAGUAGGAGCUGCGCUGAGCCUCUUCAACCUACUAAGGUAAGUCACUGUAUGCAACUCAAUAGUUCAAUUCCUUGUUUGUUUCAGGCAUAGUUAAUUUUCUCUUUUCAAUUGCUUAAUUUGUCCUCACUUAAUGAGAUGCCCAAAUAAUCAUGCCUGAUGUUCGGUACUUGUAUCACUAUUAGUUUACAUAAUUAAAGGCCUUACCAUUUAAUUACUCUACCGAAGUGUGCCUGAAGCUUUGAAGUCUAUUAACCAACUAUUAUUGCAUGAGGCUCACAAUCUAGUUUAUACUACGCUAAUGAUUGCAUAGUUUUGCCUGCUGUAGUAUGUUUGUAUGAAACCCUUUGCUGUUCAUUAUGCUCCCCAAGACUUUACUUGAGGUACAGAAUGGCCAACUGCUUGCUUACUUAUACGCAACGUGUUGUCUAAAUUUGUAACUUGUCUGUGUUUUCGAUUGGGCCCCAACAUCAUGCUCCUCUGGUGAGCUAAGAGGGAUUUCUGUAUGCAGGCUGCACAUACUAUCUUUUUUAUAAUUUUUAAAAUAUGACCUGCUUAUGCUUCAUGACGUGUAACAUUUUUUUUGUGAAAGUGAAGUGUAACAUUAUUGUUAGUCCUGUUUUGCCAUGUAGUACAAAAUAGUGUCUUGUUCGCUUCACUGUUGUAACUAUAUUUUUGCCCUAGUCAUGUGUACUUACAGAAACAUUUCAGGAUGAAGUGACAUCAACACAAAAAUCUGCAAGAAGUGCGGCAUGGCCAUUACCGAAUGAUUAUGGAUUGGAAUUGGAAUGUGCUGAUGUUCUCGAGCAUCAACUAGAGGUGGCAAGACAACGUGUACAUGAUUGUCAACGUAUAAUCAACAAGUUGAGACUGGACAUGCAGGUAUUGGAUGCAUGAGUCAAAAAAAUGAAACAAGACACCAAGGUAACCAUGAAGGAAUUGGAGAUUUUGUAGACUAAAAUUUGUGCUAUCUGAAUCCGGCCAAUCCUAUUUUCUAAAGAGAUUAUAGUUCAAAUGGAGUUAAGUUGAUGCGCGUCCAUGAUGUAUGAGUUGUAUUUGCCCAAUGUAUGUAAUUUGCUGUUUCUCUAUGCUUUAUUAUCACCUGUGCCGAACCAUAAUGCCCAGUGGGUAUAAUCGGCUGUAGUUUCUUUAUUAUAUAGUGUAGGAUUAUUCUAACUUUCUAUGCCUUGAUCUCUUUGUUGUAUAGUGUAUGCUUUUUAGAGGUGAUAGUAUUGAGUAGGAUAAUUCUUUGAAUAUGCUAUAUCGUUCAAACGGGGGCCAACUCGCCCGACCAUGGCCCUUCUCGGGCCGUAGGAUCCAUGGGCCUUCUACGUCUCGUAGGAUCCAUGGGCCUUCUACGUCACGUAGGAUCCAUGGGCCGCCGACUCAUUUAUGGGUCUUGUACGAGCCUUUAAUGGGCCGUAGAUGGGCCUAAAUGGAAAUCGUACGUUUUAUGGGCUGACCAUAAUGGGCCGUUAAUAGACCGUAUUUGGUGAUGCUAUGAAAAUGGCCCAACAGACUAACGGACCACAAACGGGCCGACUAUAACGACGGGCUGAAUUUGGCCCACAAGCAGAAAAUGACUGUAACGGGCCGUAAGUAACAGAAUGCUGCAAAUGAGCCCAAGAAUAAAUGGGCCCUCAGAAGGCCGAAAGUUAACUUGGGCUAGAAACGGCCCAACGGAAUAACGACCCAUUAGUGGGUAUAAAGUGUUACACUAUUCAUUACGGGCCAGUUUCACUGUGGGCCAUUAAUAGGUGUAAAGUAAUACACUGUUCAUUACGGGUCAGUUUCAGCACGGGCCGCUAAUGGGCCAAGAGUUACAAAGGGCCUCAUAUGGGCCGAAAGACGUCAUGGGCCAUACAUGGGCCGGAAGUGAAAACGGGCUGGAAUCAUAUUGGAUGGCCCAGAUGACGCUAGUGGGCCUAAUUCGCAUAGGGCGUAAUGGGCCUUGGGUUAGCGGGCUGUAAAUGGGCUAUAUGCUAACAUGCUGUUAACAGGCUUUCCAUGGGCCGGCCCGCUAGCUUUUGACCAAGUCAAACGGGCCGGCCUUUUCACAGGAAUGGGCCACUGUUGGGCCGUGCCACGUGUCGACGUAUCAUAGGCGCCUUCUGUCCAGUGAGUGGAUGACAUCUGUCCCAAUGAUGAGCCGACACGUGUUUCCUCUAGCCAAUGAUGAUUUUACACGUGGAAAAUCCCCAUUGGUCGGGGCUGUUAACGGUUUAUCGGAUCCAAAACCCGACCCGAUAGGUUAACGAUGUUCCGUUACGGUGGAUGCCACGUGUCAGUCACCCUUGACGAAAGCACUUCUGUGACGCGCGAUUUAUCGUCAUGGAAGUGGACACUUCCGUGAUGAUAAUUUUGGUAAUGUCAUGGAACACUUCUACGACAGCACAGGUAUGACUAUCUUGAUUCUGUCAUAAAAUCGUCAUGGAUGUACAUGCAUGACAAAAACGUGACCUACUGUGACAAACACGUAUCAUCACGGAAGUGUAUCUUUUUUGUAGUGCUAUCAUCAUCCUCAUCAUAAUAUCCAUGUUCAACACCGUCUUGUGAUUGAUCAUCACCUAGAGAGAGUAAUUCAUUAGAUUUAUGAUCAUGACAAUGUGCAUCUUUUUGAAUUCUGAUGACUUGUGAGAUGAUGCUACUAAUGACUCCAACAUCUCCUUUGGCACGCAUAGGUUACGAAGCUCAAAUAGACAAUCACAAAAUUUAGGAUCACUAGGCUGCAUUUUAUGAAAAGCAAUGGACUUUUGAAGAAUCUCAUCAGGAUUUUUCAAGGAAUAAUUUGGAAAGCGUUCCUCAAGAUAUCUCCAUAUAGUAUAAGCACAUUCAAAUGUAGGGAAGCAUACAAGCAAAUUUCUAGGCAAUCCUCUUAUGAUAAGAUCAAUGUCUCUAAGAUUGCGGGUCAUGUCAAGAUACUCAUCGGAGGGUAGGAUGCAAUGGAUCAAUGGGAGGUGCACAAGGGCUAGUAAUGUACUUGUUCAAAUUAUAUCCAAUGAAAAUCUCAAGCACCUCAUUUUUCAAAGCACUAUAGAACUCUCCAUCAAGCAUAGGCACUCUACGUCUAAUACUCCCAAUCGUAGACUCAUCCAUCUUCCUCCAAUGGUGAUUAAACCAAAGCAAUGGAGACCAAAGCUCUGAUACCAAUUGAAAGGUUCAAGAAGAGGUGUCUAGGGGGGGUGAUUAGACCCUCAACAAGCAAAAGUAGCAAUUUUUAAGUUCUCCAAGUUGAGGUGGAGUUUUAGCACAAGUUUAAGCAUUCACAAUACAUUUCAAGCAAGCAUGGCAAGAGUAUAAGCAUCAGAAAGAGUAAAGGAUGCUAAUUGUAAGAAAGUAAAGGGAUGGGAUUGGAGUGUGCAAAUGCAAUGAAGACACGAAGAUUUUUGGCGUGGUUCCGAUAGGUGGUGCUAUCGUACAUCCAUGUUGAUGGAGACAUGAACCCACAUAGGGUAACUGUUGUGUGAGUCUACGAAGGGAUCCACCCACGAAGGGUCCACGAAGAAGCAACCUUGUCUAUCCCACCAUGGCCAUCACCCAUGAAGGGCUUGCCUCACUCGGGUAGAUCUUCACAAAGUAGGCGAUCUCCUUGUCCUUACAAACUCCUUGGUUCAACUCCACAAUCUUGUCGGAGGCUCCCAAGUGACACCUAACCAAUCUAGGAGACACCACUCUCCAAAAGGUAAUAGAUGGUCUGUUGAUGAUGAAGUCCUUGCCCUUGUGCUUCAAAUGAUAGUCUCCCCAACACUCAACCCUCUCUCACAAAUUUGGCUAUGGUGGAAAGAAGAUUUGAGUGGAAAGCAACUUGGGGAAGGCUAGAGAUCAAGAUUCUAGUGGUGGGAUUGGAAUGUCUUAUUCUCAACACAUGAGUAGGUGGUUCUCUCUCAGAAAAUGAGUAGUGGAAGUGUAAGGGGUGGAGGGGUAUAUAUAACCUCCGCACAAAAUCCAACUGUUACACACAUUUACCCAACUCGGUCAGACCGAAUAGAAGAAAUCGAUGAGACUAAUUCAGUUCAAAAUGUGACCGUUAGGAAUUUCGGUGGGACUAACAUGAUCAACUCGGUGAGACCGAUGUGCUAGGGCUACCACAAAACUUCAUCUUGGUGGGACCGAUUGCAUGAACUCAGUGAGGCCGAUUUUAACAAUGAGCAAAAGGAGGGUUGGUCAGGCAAACUCGGUGGGACCGAUUGCACAUUUUGGUGAGAUCAAAAUAAUUAUAGCAGGUAACAAAGAGUUUGCAAGGCCAUCUCGGUGAGACCGAGAUCCAUAUUGGUGAGACCGAAUUGUCUAGGGUUUCUGGCAGUGGCUAUGUCAAAUGAACUCGCUGGCACCGGAUAGAUCAAAUCGGUGGGGCUGAGUUUGACUUUAGGUUUUGGACAUAUGUGCAGAUGAGAAAGUGGCUGAGGGUUUUUGGAGCAAUAUCACUAAGCACUUUGAGCAAGCAGAUCAUUAAGCAACACCUCAUCCCCUUUUAAUAGUAUUGGCUUUCCUAUGGACUCAAUGUGAUCUUGGAUCACUAAAAUGAAAAUGAAGAGUCUUGAGCCUUUGCCAAUCUUUGUCCUUAGCAUUUUGAAGGGGUUCCUCACCCUCUUGUCCUUGCCACGCCAUUGUUGAACUCAUCUGAAAUAUACUUGAUAAAAGUAUUAGUCCAACAAGAGAUAUGUUAUCAUUACUUACCAAAAUCACCCAGGGAGCACUUCUACUUUCAAUCAUCCUACACAAAGUGGUCUUUCAUCAUCAUCUCGAAAUAGCGAUACAAGUCUCGAAUACUUGCAACUACAUCGUCAUCCAUCUAAACAAUGAUAUACACGAGAAGAGCUAUUACUAUGAGUGAGAGUGGAACUAUGCAGUACAUGAGGCGGCGGUUAUGAGUCCACUCUCAUGCUAGUGUGAACCUCAAGUAACUAGCUUCUCCUUUUUUUCCUGCUUUUGACCCUUUAUGGCUGGCACUCAAGAAACAUUCCACUUGCACCUGACACUCGAGCCACUCGUCGUACACUCCCGGAACCUUCCCUGUGUACACGACAUAGCACUACUUCUUCGCCAUCAAGGAUCUAGGUACUAUUAGAGAUACAUCUUUAUAAAGAGAAUGUACAAUCAUAUGCAACAAAAUAUACUUGAGCAACACGAAAAGAAAGGGUAUGCAAAUAGAUCCAACAUAUAGUAAACAUAAAUAAUGAAUACACCAUCUAAUUAACUAGAGGUAUGCAGAUCAUCGUACCCAAACUAACUAAGUAGCAUUACGCAAGUUCGGUAGGGACCGUGGACAUCACAAAGUUUCAUCGCUACAGAAAUUAUACAAGUUCAACUGACACAUAUCAUCAUCAUCGACAUCCUAAAUCACUAGAAUUUCCAUCCAUCCAUAUCAUCGAGGAUGCACCCUAGCUUCUUGAAUGGCGUGAGGUCCUGUCGUUGCAUGCCUAUGUGAGUUCGGACGUCAGCUCAUGAUAUAGGGACGUGGUGGAGCAUCCCCUUCUCUUUGACAACUUCUUUCAUGAUGAUCGUCGCAAUGUCCCUCUGGUUGCGAAAGAAGUCAUCUCUAAGUUUAUAAUCCGCUUCAUCUUGGGAUUCUACCACUUGCGGAUAUGAUCAUCGCUUCUGGUUGUCAUGCGAAGAUUUUGGUGAUCCCUUUUGAACUCCAUCAUGAGAUGGAGGAGGUAGAAUCCAUCGUUCUUGCUUGGUUUCAGGACAUGGAUGCAAUAGAGUUAGUUUUAUGCGAGAAACCCAGCUUGUGGUUCCUUUGUUUCCCGAUCUGCAGGUGGCCACCCCUCAAGCUGAAGCCGUGGAGAGCAUCAUCUAGAAUAUUCAUUACAUGGGUGUAGUCCUUCUUCUCGUAGUUUCUAGUAGGAUCGAAAUACAUGGCGUGGGAGACUCGCGGGUAAAGAACGAUAAGGAUGGCACGCCCGUUGCUGGGGGGAAAAGAACACCUGAAAUUAUUCUCCAUAUCUGCGAGAAGGAAUGAUUGAAAUGUACGAAAGGGUUAUCCGUCACUUACUUAUUUUGGAUGAUAAGGUAGGAGGACAAUUUCUUUGUCCUUAUUCCUUAUCGUGAAGUUUUCGAGGUACUCCCUAGCAGUUUUACGCCCAAAGUCGCCGAGACUCAAGAAGGACUCAUGCAUGAAGUAUGGAUCCGCCACAUAGAUUUGCAAGACUUGUUCUCUUUUCAUGACAGAGUGCAUAUGUAGUGCAAAAAGGCAGAUGAUUGUAAAAUCGAGCAGCCUUGUCAGAAACAUCUCGAAGAUAUGUUCAAACCGUAGGAAGGACACCUCCGCGGGCAGUGUGUCAACGUAGCCAUUCCCCUCAGGCACAUGAAUCGCGUAUGUCAGAUAUCCCAGACCAUUCGAGGCUAGUAGGCUUAUCUCAGUCGACAGCACAUGGUCGUGCAGUCUCCUGGGAUCCCCUGAUAUGGCCUCCAGCGGUUCUGAUGGUAGUAUCAGAUCGCCCGCGACAUGCCGUAUGGCUGCACCUUUGACGGGUACACGCUCUACAAAAUCCACCAUCUGGCUGCUAUGUGCUCUGGCUUGUUUGUAGGCAGCAGAGCUUUCAUCGGCGGUCUCUUCCCUCUCCCUUUUCUGGGGCUGACUUUCUAGACCCUUCCUUAACCCCUACUCCAGUGUUGUUGGGCUAAGCACUGUACGACCCUCGGCUAGUUGAGCCUGCGUUGAGGCGACAUCUUCAGGCGUGUCCUAUAAGGAUUGCAUGAAGAGAGACUUCUUGCAAUCAACCCUGCUAGGACGACGUUCCUGCCCGGCCACAUCAUCCAUCUCCUCAUCAGCAUGCUGAUAGCCCGACUCGUCAUAUGGCUGAUUCAUCAUUUCUAUGUCGUCGUCAUAGGCGCCUGAAUUGAGGAACCUGAGAGGGUCAUCCUCGUCCAUCUCAUCAUCCAUUCUUUGUUGUACGGGGGAGAUUACAUCAACCACUAUUGGACCCCCUUCCUCGCGUCGUCCGCUGCUCUCACCCGGCAAUAUAGGUGCUGGUAAUUGUGUAGGCGGGGUGGUGGUGUUCAUACCUUCUUGCUGUGUGGUUAUUGGUGUGCUCACAACUGCCUCCAGAUGAAGAAGAUUCUUCGGCCAUAGCAGCAUCCAACCCUUGCAGUUUUCUAAGCCGCAAUGGGGUCUCGUCGUCCUCUCUCCCAAGCCAUACUGGAGGAGGAAAAUCCACGUGCCCCGAUUUCACACUCGACAAGGUAACCCUGAAGUGGCCACCGGGGAUCGGCUGCGUGUGGAACAUGAGUUCCAAGGGCUUCGCUAUCAGCUCCUUUCCCACGUCCACCUUCUGGACUUUGAUUAAGUAAAGUAUGGUGCACGGUGUCGGUGUACUAGAGUAGGGGUACCCUAGUAUCCCGAACUUGUGCAUGGGCAGUUGUAGCACCCCGCGGCAAGGCUUGCCGGGUGACCGCCAAGGUCCUCCGUGGUUCCUUUGGCCAUUCAAGAACAAAGUAUUCAAGCCAAGGAGACAAGGCCCCGGCAAGAGGAGCUUGCCGGGAAGGCCAACCAAGGCAUCUCAAGGAACUUGCCGCGACACGCCACGCGUCCCGGCGACGCCCAGUGAGCGACAAGCUUCCGGACGCGACAAGACAACGACCGCGGCAAGGCGCUUGCCGCGGCAAACUACCACUCUGUACCCGCGCUCCAGCACAUCCACCAACGUGUCGCCCUGGGACCUUUCCAAGCGCGCGUGGCAAGAGGCUGUGCGGCCAGCGGUGCACGGUGGCAAGCGACGCUGACAAGAUUGCCAUCGUGGCAAGCGGUGGCGUCCCUGACGGUCCCUUUUUGCACUAUUUGGGCGACGUAGACGGGCAUUUAAUGCCUUUGUCCCCUGCCGUCAGGGUUAGGUAUGAUACACUGUACAGGUAGUUGUACCAACCGCAAUUCCUUUUCCAUUUUUACCCUUGUCUAUGUUGCCACCUGUCGGAGACCCCUUUAGCAUAUAAAAGGAGGCCCAUGCGCAACGUAGAGAGGGGGUUUUUCGAAGGCAGAAAAACACUCACGCUCGGUCUCGCUAGUAGCUAGUGUGUACUGUAGCACACCGCGCUCCCGAGCAAGAACUCAAUACACUCAGACAUGCAGCAGUAGGAGUGUUAUCUCUCCGGAGAGCUCCGAAGCUGGGUAAACUGCUCGUGUGCUUCGCCUUGAUCCGCUCUUCGUGCGAUCUCCGCCCCCCGCCGAACCGAAAGGGGCUCGGUCCGCCGGUCCCAUAGGUGUUCGUGGAUCAGUUUCCCUGACAUCUUUGGCGCGCCAGGUAGGGGGAAUCGAGGUUGUGUGAACCUGAUCCGACGUUCACACAAGCUAGAUCUUCAUCUUCUUCAUCGACAUGCCACCGAAGAAGAAGGCUUCGGCGGCAGCUGUUCCGUCCACGUCGAUCCCACCACCACCAGAGCAAACGGGUGGUGGGGUAGACGCCGGCGGAAGAACGGGCAUCGACGAGGGAGCUCAUGGUGCUGCCAGGUCCAAGGACAAGGCUGUGCAGACCUCGGCGUCCGUACAUGCACCGCGCCCAUCUCAGGAGGCGCAGGACCGACAGCAUCAUGGUAUUCGCAGUGCCAUACGUUCAUUGGACCAAGAUUGAGCUGGUGGAUCUCGGGGUGCUCAAGACCAGCAUGCACGCCAACAUGCUGGCACGAGCGAGACACGGUCGCCUGGACGGGAUACUGCUCCUUCUAACAUAGUUAGAAGUCCGAGCAUAUCCCGCUCCUCACGCCGUUCGCCACUGCCGCCCACCACUCCAGCAGAAGCUUUGGCGCGAGCUCAACUGCUCCUGGAUUACACUCCAACGGCAGACAAGAUCGAUGAAUGGAGGGCCACCAUUCAGAGUCUCAUCGGCUUCGCCAACGGCGACACUCCGCGGCAGCCGAGUACAUCGCUGCUGCGGCAGGACUGCCAGGCACGAGCCGAUGGCGACGAGACCGGUGGGGGUGCAACCACCAUGCACUCUCCACCCCGAAGGCCAAGAUCGCUGACUCGCCGGAUCCACCUCGACAGCGACUCCACCGCAUCAUCAGAUCCACGAGCUCAUCGCGAUCAGCGCCAAGUUCUUCACGAACGACAGCAAGAAGACGCUCUUACUCGCAUCGAGCGCCAAAGAGAAGCGCGUCGUCAAUCGGACCAGCGCGCUGGGCCCUCUGUCGACAUGCAUGCACCAGGGGAACCAGGCGACUUGCCGUACGCGGUAGGUUGCCCUGCGUUCACUCGUGAGCUGCGGCAAGUCCAGUGGCCCAGCACGAAGAAUUUCAAGUCAGACGUACCAGAGAAGUACGACGGCAAGUCGCAUCCGUCGGAGUUCCUCAGCAUCUACACCAUCGCGGUGCAAGCUGCCGGGGGGUGGGACGACAAGAUCCUGGCCAACUACUUCCCGUUGGUGCUCAAGCCCAAUGUCAGAUCCUGGCUCAUGCACUUGCCGGACAACUCCAUAUCCUCCUGGGCAGACCUAUGCCAUCAGUUUGUCGGCGCCUUUACAGGCGGCCACAAGCCUCAUGGCCAAGAGAGCGACCUUCAUUUGCUCGCCCAGAAGGAAGGAGAGCCCCUGCGCAAGUACAUUCAGAGAUUCAGCCGCGUACAUCACAACAUCCCAGAUGUCCACCCUGCCGCGGUAAUCAACGCGUUCUAUCAGAACGUGCGAAACCGCAAGAUGCGGGAGGAGAUGGUGAUGUGCAAGAUCAGAGACGUCAGUGAGCUAUAUGCCCUGGCCGACAAGUGUGCACGUGCUGAGGAAGGGAGGAAACUCCCCGGAGAGAAUACAGAAGCAGGAGGAUCUGAUAGUGAGGAGGCUGCCCCGGCAAAGAAAAACCGGCGGCAGAAUAACAGGAAGAAGAAAGGCAAAGAUGUGCUAGUCGUUGAGCAGUCCGGCAACGGAGGUGGCGCCAAGAAAGCCAAAGCUGGUAGCUCCGACGAGGAGAUUGCUGCAGGCACCAACUACCAGGCUGUGGCGGUCGCCGACAAGCAGGACGGCACCAACAAGCAGUACUGCAAGAUCCACCGCACCAAGGGCCAUGACCUCCAGAGCUGCAAGAAGGUUGAGCAGCUUGUCGAGCAGCAAAAGGCUGAAUACGAGCGACGCGACAAGGAGAAGGCCCAGGAAGGUGCUGGAGGAGCCGGCAAGAAACGCCCCGGCCAAGGAGGACGCCGUGGCAAGGCCAAGCAGCGGCAAGGAGACAGAGCUCCCCGCGGCCGCGACAAGGAUGAAGAUGAUGACGACGAUGAAGAUAUGGAUGAUGACGAGACUGAUGAGCAGGAGUUCCAGAAAGCCACAGAGGUCCUGUGCAUUGACGGCGGUGCUUCUCUGCAUACUUCACACCGCCAGCUCAAGCAGUGGGUGCGGGAAGUCAAUGCGGCAGAACCACCCAUCGAGUCACGCAAGCCUCUGAAAUGGUCCAGCACGCCUAUCAUCUUUGAUAUUGAGGACCACCCUGAUCGCAUAACUGCGGUCGGGUGCUUGCCGAUGUUGGUUUCACCAACUAUCCGCAACCUCAAGGUCACUAAGAUGCUAGUUGACGGCGGGGCCGGCUUGAACCUGAUCUCCUCCGCGGUACUCCAGAAACUCCAGACCCCUGAUGGCGAGCUCGAAGAGACCGGCACAUUCCAAGGAAUCAAUCCGGGAAGGAGCAAACCGAAGGGAAAGAUCACGUUGCCGGUGACAUUUGGCAGCGAGUUGAACUUCAGGACUAAGAGGGUCACUUUUGACGUUGCUGACUUUCCAUUGCCUUACAAUGGGAUACUUGGCCGUCCAGCACUAGCCAAAUUCAUGGCAGCCUCUCAUUAUGCAUACAACAUGCUGAAGAUGCCAGGCCCGAUAAGUGUCAUCUCUGUCCCUGGCAACAAGAAGGAUGCUCUUAUCUGCGCCGACAAGAUCUACCGGGAAGCAGCAGCCGCAACAGAUCGCAAGUCACUUGCCGUUGAAGCUCCCGGGGCGAAGAAGAAGACCAAGUCCGGCAAGAGUUCUGAUGCCCACUCCAGCAAGCGCACCUCUUCGGAGUGCUGCGCUACCGUCGAGGACGCACCAUCGAGCUCCACCGGCAAGUGUAAGAAGACAAUGGCAGCUCCACCAGAGACCAAGAAGGUGUCCGCCAAGGAGGAUGGCACUGGUGGUACCUUUACCAUCAGUGCCACUCUUGACCCUAAAUAGGAAAGCGCGCUUGUUUCUUUCCUGCGGGAGAACAUCGACGUAUUUGCGUGGCAACCGUCUGACAUCCCCAGUGUUCCCAGGAAAGUAAUCGAGCACCAUCUUGUCGUCUGUCCUCAUGCGCGGCCCGUCAAGCAGAAAGUCAGGAAGCAGGCAGUGGAGCGCCAAGAAUUCAUCGCAGAAGAAAUCAAGAAAUUGGAAGCAGCAGGCCUUGUCAGAGGAGUGCUCCAUCCUACAUGGUUGGCCAACCCUGUAGUCGUGCGCAAGGCAAACGGGAAAUGGAGGCUUUGUAUCGACUUUACCGAUGUUAAUAAAGCUUGUCCCAAAGACCCAUUUCCCUUGCCGCACAUCGACCAGAUUGUUGACUCCACGGCCGGAUGUGACUUACUUUCAUUUCUUGAUGCAUACUCAGGAUACCAUCAGAUCUUCAUGGCAGAAGAGGAUGAUGAGAAGACCGCAUUCAUCACCCCAUGUGGCACAUACUGUUUCGUAUGGAUGCCUUUCGGUUUAAAGAAUGCUGGUUCAACAUUUGCAAGGGUAGUCCAUGACGCUUUUGAGCCGCAAAUACACAGAAAUGUGGAAGCCUACAUGGAUGACAUAGUGGUCAAGAGCAGGGACAAGGCAACUCUGAUUCAAGAUUUAGACGAAACCUUUGCAAAUCUGCGCAAGAUCAACCUCAAGCUUAACCCCGAGAAGUGUGUGUUUGGAGUCCCCUCUGGCAAGCUUCUCGGGUUCUUCGUGUCUCAGGGGGGAAUUGAGGCCAAUCCCGACAAGAUCAAGGCCAUUGAGCAGAUUGAAGCACCAAAGCGCGUCAAGGAUGUACGAAGACUUGCCGGUUGCAUAGCUGCUCUCAGCAGGUUUAUCUCUAGGUCUACUGAGCGCGCCCUACCAUUUUUCAAAAUAUUGAAAAAGGCAGGUCCAAUGAAAUGGACUCCUGAAGCGGAGGCUGCACUGCAGGACUUAAAGAGAUACCUGUCCUCCACUCCAACACUUGUCGCAGCUAAGCCACAAGAGAAGUUGUUGCUAUAUAUAGCGGCAACCAAUCAAGUGGUUAGUGCUGCGUUAGUAGCGGAGAGGGAGGCAGAUGAUGAGCCAGCAACCACGGCAGAUGCAUCUAGCGACAAGCAGGGGAUUUCACCGGCAAGCUCUGGUCCCGACAAAGAUGGAUCUGCGCAGGCGCGUGAGAAGAUGCAGAAAAGAAUGGUGCAGCGCCCAGUUUACUUUGUCAGUUCCCUUCUGCAGGGGGCUAGGUCAAGGUACUCUGGUGUGCAGAAAUUGCUUUUCGGCCUUCUCAUGGCCUCGAGAAAGCUGCGCCAUUACUUCCAAGCACAUCAGAUCACAGUCAUCACUCGUUUUCCGCUGAAGAGGAUACUGCAAAAUCCAGAAGCAACAGGCAGGAUUGUCGAGUGGGCACUGGAACUGUCAAGCUUUAGCCUCAAGUUUGAGAGCACUUCAACUAUCCAAAGCAGAGCAUUGGUGGAGUUCAUAGCAGAAUAGACGCCAACACAAGAUGAAGAAAUUCCAGAAACGAGCAUCCCCGUCAAGGAAGCAAGCAAAGAGUGGCUGAUGUACUUUGAUGGUGCCUUCUCGCUGCAAGGCGCCGGUGCGGGUGUGCUACUUGUUGCACCCACCGGAGAGCACCUCAAGUACAUAGUCCAGAUGCACUUUCCCAAGGAGCAAGCAACGAACAAUACCGCAGAGUAUGAAGGUUUGCUUGCCGGUCUCAGGAUCGCAGCAGACCUUGGUAUCAAAAAGCUCAUUGUCAGGGGUGACUCACAGCUUGUUGUCCGCCAAGUGAACAAGAAUUAUCAGAGUCCGUUGAUGGAAGCUUACGUUGAUGAAGUGAGAAAGCUAGAAGAGCACUUUGACGGCCUACAGAUGGAACAUGUUCCAAGAGCUCAGAACGACAUUGCCGAUGGCCUGUCGAAGUGCGCCGCACUUAAGUUACCUGGGGAACCAGGGAUCUUUGUGCUCAAACUGACUCAACCGUCUGUAACGCCAUCAACUGGACAGAGCAAGAAGAGGAAGUUGAUUUCUGGUGACUAUUUUCUGGCAGAGCUCCCCAAAGCUGCCGCCAAGAAGGUCCUCAAGAUCAACACCAAGGGUGUUGAGGAACAGUCUGCUCCGGCAAGCCCUAGGGUUUGUUCCAUUGAAGCAGACGCUCCCGACAAGUUUUGCUCCGGCAAGCUUGCCGGGGAACGUCAAGCUCUGGCUGAGCCGCAGGUUCUCGCCGUAGAAGCGGAUGUUCCCGCAGCAGCAGAUGUGCCUUUAGUCCUUGUUGUCGAGCCGCAAGCUCCAGCAUGGGCACAGCAGAUUGUCCGUUUCCUUCAGACAGGAGAACUUCCCGAAGAGCAAGAAGAAGCGGAAAGAGUAGCCCGGCAGUCAAGUAUGUACCAGUUUGUCGACAACACACUGUUCAGAAGAAGACUCAAGGCGUGAAAUUGAAGUGUAUUCACCGGGAAGACGGACAAAAGAUGUUGGCAGAUAUACAUGGAGGCAUAUGUGGUCACCACAUUGGCGCAAGAGCACUUGCCGGCAAAGCGUUCCGGCAAGGUUUCUUUUGGCCGACAACCCUCCAGGAUGCAACUGCACAAGUAACCAAGUGUGAAGCAUGCCAGUUCCAUUCCAAGCAGAUACACCAGCCAGCUCAAGCUCUCCAGACGAUCCCUUUAUCCUGGCCAUUUUCGGUCUGGGGGCUCGACAUCCUUGGCCCCUUUCCCCGAGCUGUCGGGGGCUUUGAGUACUUGUACAUUGCAAUCGACAAGUUCACAAAGUGGCCAGAAGUGGAAGCAGUGAGGAAGGUGAUAGCACAGUCAGCAGUCAAGUUCUUCAGGUCGAUUGUUUGCCGCUUCGGGAUCCCUAACAGGAUCAUCACCGACAACGGCACGCAAUUCACGAGCCGCACCUUCAUACAGUACGUCCAAGAUCUUGGCGCCAAGGUCUGCUUCACUUCUGUUGCUCAUCCGAGAAGUAACGGUCAAGCGGAGAGGGCGAAUGCUGAAGUGCUGCGCGGUCUUAAGACCAGGACUUUCGACAGGCUGCGCAAGUGCGGUAAGAACUGGAUUGAGGAGCUGCCGGUGGUUCUUUGGUCGAUCAGGACGACGCCAAAUCGAGCCACUGGCCAGACACCUUUCGCUCUAGUCUAUGGAGCAGAGGCAGUUCUCCCCACGGAACUCGUAUAUGGGUCACCUCGAGUGCUCGCUUAUGAUGAGCUUGAGCAAGAGCAGUUGCAACAAGAUGAUGCGCUGCUCCUUGAGGAGGACCGUCUUCACCCCGCUGUACGAGCUGCUCGAUACCAGCAAGCUUUGCACCGCUACCAUAGCCGCAAAGUUAAUGCCAGAAGUCUCAAGGAAGGCGACCUUGUUCUUCGGCGCGUUCAGUCCGCCAAGAAUUCCAACAAGUUGACGCCGAAGUGGGAAGGCCCUUACCGGGUGAAACGAGUCACUAGGCCUGGCGCUGUCCGCCUUGAGACCGAAGAUGGCAUUCCGGUGAGCAACUCCUGGAACAUUGAGCAUCUUCGUAAGUUUUACCCGUAAGGCACGAUUGCCGGAACUUGUUCCGGCAACCACCUUUUGUACAAGUCUUGCCGAUGUUGCAUGUAAUCCUUUGUACGAAGCCGGGCACAGACCCCGUGCAUAAGUAAAGCUCAUGUGCUCCGCACAUCUUGUCAAUUUCAUGCUUUUUUUUGCAUGCGUUAUCUAACACUUUGUGCAGCGCCUACCCCCGGUAAGCAAUAACGAGCCGUAAGGCUCCAUAUCUUUAUUUUCUCUUCUUUCUCUUUCUCAAAGAAAGGAAGGUUCCCUCGCCCACAAGUUUGCCCGGGGGAAAGGAGAAGAUAAUGGUGUGGACCAAGCAUCGUUCGAGGAAGUUUCGCCUUACCGGGAAGCAAACGACAGAAAAGCUAAGUUGCUAAAGUUUGAGCAAUCAGUUUUAAAAAUUUUAAGUUAUCUUCCUCGAACGACCGUGCUUUGUAUGGAAAACCUGUGCGCGGAGGAACCAACUCGUAGCUAGUUGUGCCCUUACUUUGUUUCGAGUCCGCUCAACAACUUAAGUGAGCUGCGACUAGUUGCGACAAGGUUUCUUGUCGGUAGCGGCACCGCCAGCAGGCUGCUGACGUCCCGCACUCAGCGCUCGCGGCUAAGGUGCCUGCGCCGACAAGUUCCCUAAAAGCGUAGGGCAAAAACAUACAAAGGAAGGAAUCAAGUAAAGGAAAUAACAUAGCAAUCGCUACCCGAAAUAGAGUCAUAUUACAAGAUAGCUUGUCGCAGCUCUAACAGAUUGUUCUCAUAACAUGACCAGUAGCGACAAGAAAAAGAGAAAACGGGCGGCCUAAUCUACGUGAUCGCCCUCAACCCUCUUGAUCCCGCUCGCCUUGUCCACAAUGGGUGCGACAAGGGUCUUGAGCGCUUCCAGAUCAGCAUCCGACGGCAAGGUCCUGAGGACGUUGCCGAGGUUGAGGCCUGGGUUGCGGAAGGCCACCUUCACCAGCACCUUUUGAAGAGCUCCCGCACAGAUCUUGCGCGACUCGUCGGCCAGCUGCUUUGGGAUCUUCUCCCGGAGUCGCUGGAGGGCCGUCGCCACGCCUUUGAAGAACAAGCUGAGCUUGGCGCUGGGUUGAAGGUGCUCAUCGGAGGAAUACCCGAGAUCCUCCAUCCCCAGCUGCGCCAGCUCCCUGUCGAUGGCUGCGGCAACAUUCACGAGACCCUCGGUCCAGUGCUCCACAUUCUCCCUAAAAGUGUUCUGGGCGGCAGUAGCACUUGCCAGCAGCGCCUCGUCGGCCUUGAUCUUCUCCUUCAAGGCCACCUCCUGCUCCCUGGCGCCGUCCAGCGUCUUGGUCAAAGUAGUCAGCUUCAACUCAAGAUCUGCGUUAGAGUCCUUGGCGGCGCUAAGCUCCUUGCUCCUCUCGGCGAGACGACCCUGCAGCUCGCCAAGGGUGUAGGCGUCCUUCUCGCGCUCAUGCUUGAGCGCAGCAAGCUCCUCGCCGCUCACCUUGAGAUCGGCCUCCAGCUGCGCCACCUUCGUCUCCAGCUCCUUCUUGGCGGCCUCGGCAGCUACGGCAGCAUCCUCUGCUUCCUUGAGAGCCCCGCCGAAUGUUUGCUCGCACGCGGCAAGCUCCUCCUCGUGGCUGUCAAGGUUAACCUUCCGCUGCGCCAACUCGCCUUCCUGCGCAGACAGCCUCUCGGCAGCAAGCCGCUGUUGCUCUUCAACUUCAGCCUUCUCGAGGAGGAAGGCUUUACGCUCCUUGGCAAGUUGCUCCCGCUCCUCUGCCAGGGACCGGAGAGCUUCCUGGUUGAGGCCUCGGAGCUCCUCCGCGCGCUUCUCGAUGUCCACUCCCGCCUUCGCGACAAGCGCUUCUCGGGAUACCAGCUUGGCUUGUCGGGCGCGGUAGAGCGACAACAGCUUCCGCAGCAGCUGCUCCUCCUCAGGCUCGCCGCUGCUGCUGCUCGGUGCGUCGACCAGCGUCAGCCCAGCGGAGGCGAGCAACUCUUCAUCAAAGAUUUCUCCUUCGAUCGGCACCCUGGAGCUCGACGCCCAGGGGAGCUUGAUGAAGACGCCAUCGCCGACCUUCAAAUAGGCGCCGGACUGGGGCUCUUCGGAGCCUGACGCUGCAGCAGCGGCGGAGGGAUCGGCGGUCGGCGUAGCGCCUGACGCUCCUGCGGUCUCGGGGCCAUCAGUGCGAUCGCCGGACCCCUCGCCAGCUUCUGUGGCGGCAGCUUUGGCGGCCUCUCCGCCGGCGGGAUCAUCAGCGCCGGCUUCUUCUUCGGUGACAGCGGCGUCGUUGGUAUUGCCGCGCGCGUUCUCCUCGCCGGCGACCUCGGUUUCCAUCGGCUCCGUGGCAGAUGGACCUGACGACCGGAAAAGGAAGAAAAGUGAAGCAAAUAUUCAAAAAGAAAAUCAGAAGAAGAAGAUCCCAAGGGAAGUUUUCAAGCAAGAGGAUUACCUGUACUAGGAUCUACAGUCGUGGUCUCCGCCACCGGGGGGUCGCUGGUGCUGUCCCUUGCCGGAGAACUGUCCCUUGCCGGAGACUUCUCCCUUACCGGAUAAUUCUCCCUUGCCGAAGAACGCUCCCUUGCCGGGGAAUCCUCCCUUGGCGGUGUAGUCGAAGCAGAUGGCAUGUCGGGAGCGGCUUCCGGGCACUCCUGGUGAGACUGCUCUGCUCCUACGCAAACAAAUAGUCAGAUGUCAGCAAAGAAAGAGCACCCAUGCGCGCCUAAUAGCAGGAAGUAAACCAUAUACUUACGCUGGGGGCUGCGCUGGGGGCUGCUUUGGGGAAUAGUUGCCGGGUCCGGCAAGGUGGUCUAAAACACACCCCCUGCUGUCGCGGUGGGUUCGUCCUCGAUGACAAUCACCGGGACCUUGGCUCUCUUUGCCGCUCUCUGGGCCAGAGUCCUGAAAAGGAAUGGGUUCGGAGUAAAGCAAAUCAGAUACAAGACAAAACAGCAAGAAUUGAAGAACUACAAGUACAGCAAAGAAUCUUACUCUUCCUCUUCCUCAUCGGAGCUGAGCACGGAGAGGUCGAAGUCCGGCCCACCUUCGGCGCGACAAGGCGGAGGAGUAGGUUCCCUUAGCCGCUUGGCGGGAGCAGAAGCGGUGGUCCGGGAGGGCCCCGCUCCAGUUGCCGCAGCGGCGUGAGGUGCUCCCGCGGCAACAGUGCUUGCCACGGUGGAGCACGUCGCGCGGCGCGGCGGCUGUUGACCCGUCUGCCGCCCUGCUACGUCCCCGGCCUUGCGGAGACGCCUUCUUGGUGGAGCUGGGGGCUCCGCUUGCGGCGAGCUAUCUGAAGGUGAGAAAGAGGAGGAGUCGAUCUUCAACGAGUCGCUCGCGCCCUCGGCGGGCUCGCUCGACUCAGCUUCAGGCCCGACAAGCUCUCACUCGCCGACAAGCUCCUCUCGCUCGGCAAGGCUUGCCGCCUCUGCUGCCUGUGCCUCCUCCACGAUGAAUCCAAACUCGCCCGCGGCAGCGGCUGCCGCCGCCUCUUCUAGCCUAGUGGCGAUGCGCUGCAUCUCCGCAUCGGUGGUGUCGCGAGUAAGACUCUUCUGUUCAUUGGAGCGGACCGGCACUUCUACCAAGCCGUCAAAGAACUCCUGCACGACGUCGUCUGCAGGCUCUUGCCAAGUUGGGACAAUUCCAUGCGAAUCGCACAGCGGCAUCAUUGCACGGAUGCGGUCGAGCGAGGAGUUGUUGCACGGCGGAACGACACCCCUCGGCAACCUGAACACUUCGGGAUGUUGAGGAUCGUGCUUGAACAGUUACAGGAGCAUCGCGUCCAGUUCCAGGACAGUGAAGUUGAAGUUGAGGCCCGGGCGCAGCCUCAUGAUAUCCGUCGCAUUCUGGAACUCCCAGGCGGGUCUCCUCCUCUCAGUAGGGGGGCGAUGCGGCGGCGAAGAAAAUCUGUGCCAACGGCGCCUACGGUGAGCCCGGCAAGCCUGAGGCGUAGGAUCCGGGUGACGACAAUCUUCAGCCUAUCGUCUUCCGGGGCCACGUUGCUCCAAUCGUUGCCGCGCGCUACUGGGGCUUGGCGCUGGGCGGUAAAUGGCUGCGGGUUCUCCUCGACAAUCCAGCAUCAGUCGGCUCUCCAUUCAUCCCACUUGCUGCGGAGCUCUCCCUCCAGAUAAGCUUCCUUCUUGCCAGUUCUCGAGAUCCAGGCGAUUCCGCCGGAUAAAGGCUCCCCUCUCUCAACUCGGGGCAUAAAGAAGUGGCAAAAAAGAGCUACAUUUGGAUAGACUCCGACAAAGUUUUCGCAGAGAUGUGCGAAAACUGCCAUGGUCAGAACGGCGUUGGGGGUGAAGUCAAGGAGGCGGAACCCGUAGGUGUUCAUAAUGUCACAGAAAAACUCAGAGAAAGGCGGGCAGAGCCCGCAGUAGAAGAACAACGCGAAGAAGGGAUAUCCAUUCGGAGCCAGUUCCGAAGCGGCAGCUGAGAGUACCUUCGUGCGCGGAUGCGCUCGCGUCUCCGUCGACCAGAAGAGGUAGUAAUACUCCCUCAGCUCCUUCGCGGCGAUCUGAGGGGGGAAGGUUGCCCGCUCCUUACGCAGCGCCGCGAGCCGCUGCGCCUCGGCCGACUUCACAACCUUCCCGGCUUUCGGAGCCAUGGCGGAGGUGGUGAGAGAGAUCGACGGCGUUGGUGGUGCCAGUGGCGAUGGGGAGCGGAGCGCUGCUCUCUUUCAGCUUUGGGAUGAAGGGGGGAGCGGCGGAGGUUUUUGAGAUUGGAAUAGCAACCGACGAGAUGGGCGAACUGCCCCGGUUUCCCCUGCUUAUAAAGAGGGAGGGGGCAGACGUUCCGUCUUUCCGAAUAAAGAAACCACCCACAAUCUCUCCCACGACGCCACAUUCGACGCGUGCCGUUCGAGGAGGGCGCGGUGGAUACAGAGUGAGAUACCGCGUAAUCCAGGCCGCGCGUGCCCGUGCCCUGUUUUGGGCCUGGCCCAACAGCGCUCGGCACCGUGUGUGGCCCAGGCCCGGGGGCUCCUGUCGGUGUACUAGAGUUGGGGUACCCUAGUAUCCCGAACUUGUGCACGGGCAGUUGCAGCACCCCGCGGCAAGGCUUGCCGGGUGACCGCCAAGGUCCUCCGUGGUUCCUUUGGAGCCAUUCAAGAACAAAGUAUUCAAGCCAAGGAGACAAGGCCCCGGCAAGAGGAGCUUGCCGGGAAGGCCAACCAAGGCAUCUCAAGGAACUUGCCGCGAUGCGCCACGCGUCCCGGCGAGGCCCGGUGAGCGACAAGCUUCCGGACGCGACAAGACAACGACCGCGGCAAGGCGCUUGCCGCGGCAAACUACCACUCUGUACCCGCGCUCCAGCACAUCCACCAACGUGUCGCCCUGGGACCUUUCCAGGCGCGCGUGGCAAGAGGCUGUGCGGCCAGCAGUGCGCGGUGGCAAGCGACGCUGACAAGAUUGCCAUCGUGGCAAGCGGUGGCAUCCCUGACGGUCCCUUUUUGCACUAUUUGGGCAAUGUAGACGGACAUUUAAUGCCUUUGUCCCCUGCCGUCAGGGUUAGGUAUGAUACACUGUACAGGUAGUUGUACCAACCGCAAUUCCUUUUCCAUUUUUACCCUUGUCUACGUUGCCACCUGUCGGAGACCCCUUUAGCAUAUAAAAGGAGGCCCAUGCGCAACGUAGAGAGGGGUUUUUUCGAAGGCAGAAAAACACUCACGCUCGGUCUCGCUAGCAGCUAGUGUGUACUGUAGCACUCCGCGCUCCUGAGCAAGAACUCAAUACACUCAGACAUGCAGCAGUAGGAGUGUUAUCUCUCCGGAGAGCUCUGAAGCUGGGUAAACUGCUCGUGUGCUUCGCCUCGAUCCGCUCUUCGUGCGAUCUCCGCCCCCCGCCGAACCGAAAGGGGCUCGGUCCGCCGGUCCCAUAGGUGUUCGUGGAUCAGUUUCCCCGACACACGGGUUGUUGUCGGCCUGCAAAGACAUGUCUGCGGCAUAAAACUUUUGAAAGGCAAUGAAAACAAAAUAUUCUAGAUAUAUGUUGGUGCGACGUGUAAUUACCGUGAGGGCCUCGAGCUUAACCAAAGAUGAAGGCCACCUAGCGCGCCCGAGACUAAGGACGGGCUGCUAUGAGCGGAUGCGGGUCCGGGCAUGGUUGCGUGAGCAGGUGAUCGAUAAGCCACAAGUAUAGGGGAUCGCAACAGUUUUCGAGGAUAGAGUAUUCAACCCAAAUUUAUUGAUUCGACACAAGGGGAGCCAAAGAAUAUUCUCAAGUAUUAGCAGUUGAGUUGUCAAUUCAACUACACCUGGAAAACUUAAUAUCUGCAGCAAAGUAUUUAGUAGCAAAGUAAUAUGGAAGUAACGGUAACAGUGGCAAAAGUAACAAUAGCAGUUUUGUAGUAAUUGUAACAGCGGCAACGGUAAAGUAACUAAGCAAAGAUCCAUAUGUGAAAAGCUCGUAGGCAUUGGAUCAGUGAUGGAUAAUUAUGUCGGAUGCGAUUCCUCAUGUAAUAGUUAUAACAUAGGGUGACACAGAACUAGCUCCGGUUCAUCAAUGUAAUGUAGGCAUGUAUUACGAAUAUAGUCAUAUGUUCUUAUGGAAAAGAACUUGCAUGACAUCUUUUGUCCUACCCUCCCGUGGCAGCGGGGUCCUAUUGGAAACUAAGGGAUAUUAAGGCCUCCUUUUAAUAGAGUACCGGACCAAAGCAUUAACACUUAGUGAAUAUAUGAACUCCUCAAACUACGAUCAUCACCGGGAGUGGUCCCGGUUAUUGUCACUUCGGGGCUGCCGGAUCAUAACAUAUAGUAGGUGACUAUUGAAUUGCAAGAUAGGAUCAAGAACUCUCAUAUAUUCAUGAAAACAUAACAGGUUCAGAUCUGAAAUCAUGGCACUCGUCUCGGAUUUAGGGUUCCGGCAAAACCCUUGAGGUUCGAACACUGGGGUGCGCACGAAGAUUUCCCCCUACCAAAUCUUGCCCACAGCCUCGCCACGAUCACUAAACUUAACUCGAUGAACUCACAACACAAGAGACACAAGAUUUAUACUGGUUUGGGCCACCAUUGUGGUGCAAUACCCUACUCCAGUGUGGUGGUGGUGGAUUGCCUCUUGGGCUGGUGAUGAACAGUACAAGGGAAGAACAGACUCCUGAGGAGAGGUGUUCUUGUGCUUGGUGGAUGCGAGGAUGAACUGAGUUCGUUCUGCCAUUCGUCUUGUCCAGCUCGCCAUUCGUCCCCCUCCUACUGUGGUGGCAAGUCCUAUUUAUAGAGGCCCUGGUCCUCUCCCCAAAUAUUGAGCGGGAAGGGAUCCAACAAUGAUCAAUUUCAAAGGGGAUAGCUAGUACAAGCUAUCCUGACUAAAGGUGGUCUUCACCUAUCAAAGGCGCUAGUGGUGACGCCGUCUUAGGCUCCACGAUGACAUCCGUCCUGCCGUCCUGCUGGUCUUGGUCUUGUUGCACUGAUAUGGAAACCAUUGCCUGAUGACUCGGUACUCCGCGCCUGCGCUUCCCCCUUAGCACCAAAGGGGAAACGAGGACACUACGCGCGCUGGCGCCCGCCUGGCCUUGGUUGUCACGGCUUGCGUCACGGGAACCUCAUGAGGUACCCCUCGCCUUGAUCUCUCCGCCUCCUUGCGAGCCUGCCUGGUGAGGCCGCUCCCGAGGAGGCCUUGUGUCGUCCGCCUCGCGAGGCUUGGCCCCUCGCUAGGGUCUUGAGUGUUGGUUGACGAAGAUGGGCGUACUGGGCCACUGUUGGAGCCACGCUACGGGCCGCAGGCAGGCAAGUCUGGGGACUUCCAUUCCCAGAACACCGACAGUAGCCCCCGGGCCCAAGGCGCGCUCGGACUUGGCUUAGCGGUGAAUCCAAAGGGCAAGUGCAGAGCGCCGCGGGCCCCAACAGCCUGCGGCCUUGGUCGACGCGUGGCGACUGAUUGGACGUGGGCAUCUCCGCUUCCCCAUGCUGCCUCAGCAACCUCCCGUCUGACAAAAGGCUGGCGCAGGCAAGGCUUCCCUUCAUUGCUUUCCUUCGUCUUGCUCCAGAUUCCCUUCCUUGCUCUUUGCUUCCAAAAUCUCUAGAUCCGCCUCGAUCCUUUCCCUUUUAGCGAAUGAUGGCGCCCCGCAAGGCCAAGGUUGAUGCGCCGCCAGCUUGGUACAAGAUGGCCCUGGAUGCACCCACUGUUGAUGAUGGCUUCGGCCAUGAAGGCGCGUGUAGUUAGGGCUCCUCAGAGUUCUUUUCUUUUGUUUCCUGCGAGGAAUCAAGAAACACCCCGCGGGGGCGUCUAAAGGGUCUGCGAUGUCUUUUGUUGAUGUUAUCCUUAUUAUGAAAUCGUGCGAGUGCUUGUCCUGUCCUGACUUGGUUCCCCAUUUCUAACCUCGCGAUGACUUGGUGCUCUACAUUGACAGGUCCCGGUCCCCAGGCAGACUGCAGCUGUCGCUGGUAUGCCAGGUCGCGAUGCCUUGGUCAAGGCCAGGAGGUGAGCGGCCCAAGGUCCAGUAAGAGACCCUGAGGCGUGAUGCUCAGGAGGUCCCCUUUAGCGCGCAAGAAGCCGCCGAGAGGUGAGAAAGGAAGGCAACGUUGCCGCCAUAGGGCCGCAUCAAGUGAGAAUUUCACGUUGUAACGAUUAGUUGUUCCAAGCGCGAGACUUAUCUCGGUAAUCUGGAGUAGUCCCAUUGCGUUGCGCCAGACUUGUGCGUCCGCAGCCAUGGCACAGCUAGGUUAGGCCCGUGCGAGCCUCCCCUUUCUUCUCUGCACUCUCCUUCAUGCUCUACGUCCUCAGGUCCCGGCCCUCGAGGGAGCUCAGCCACCGUUGGUAUGCCAGGUCGUGAUGCCGUGCUCAAGGCCAGGGGGUGAGGGCUGGAGAGCCAGUAAGAGCUCCUGAGUCGCGAUGCUCAGGAGCCCCCCUUUUAACGUGCAAGCGGAUCGCAUGGGAAAGAGAGGGAGCUCGUGGUGCCGCCCGCUGUAGACCUCAGGAGGUUCUUGCAAAUCAGCACGAGAAAGGCACGGGUUGCCAUUAUGAUUGCCGGCCGGCCAUUGGUUGCUCCGAGAGAAGGGUGAGGGCACUGAGGGCCUGGUGAGGUGACGUGCGCGGGGCAUGCCGCGGUCCAGAGUCGACCACUCAGAUAUGUCGGCGUUGCAGGGACAGACCCAUGCGCAAGCACUGUGCCAUCGCGAGUACCUCCCAUGGUAGGUGGCAAUUGAGCAGGUGAUAAUCACAGGUAUAUUAGGCAUGAAAGGCAAUUAGCUUAGGUAAAUGCAGAAUGGAUACAUGCCACUGGGUCAGACCCAAGCGGCUUGGGGAUGAUGCAGCCCGAGGGGCGCCCCCAGCAAGGUAAGCUAAAGACAUAAAAAGAGAUACAUGCCGCAGGGACGGACCCACGCAGCCUGGAAAUGAUGCAACCCUGAGGGUGCUCCCAGCUGAAAUGAACUUUGGAGAUGUCACCUAGUUCCAUUGUAGAGGGGGUGUUGGGGCAGCUGAAGACGCGCGGUGAAGGGGCCAACCCUCACGAGCCACCGGGGCCCUGAGCCUUAGGAGGCUUUGGGGUCCAGGUUGUUCCUUGAGGACCAUCUCCAUCUCUGCGGUGGUGCCUGGCCUCCUGAGCCGCCAGGAUGCUCCGCAGGUGAUGGUGGUAGGUGGCAGCCGCGUUCAGCAGGCCAAAAGGCAUGCGAAUGUAGCUGUGCGGCGGACCCUCGCAGCGUCCCACGUGCGAAGGCCUGAAGCGCUCCUGAGAUGCGGCUCGGUUGAGCCCUGGGACGCCGAUAUAGAUGCGCAACCCACCAUCCUUGCCUGGAUGGGAAUCCACGCCAGGCAAGCGGUGAUCGCCGAGUAUGGCCCUCGCUUCCUGAAGCUCGUGAGUGGUCUUGGCGAUGAACUCCUGAAUGUUGGGCUUUCCACGCCAUGUGCCUUCAUGAGGGAAACGUGUUGCGAAGCACGCCCUCAAGUGGUGCCCGAGCGCCUCCCUCGUGUUGUUGGCGAGGUCCGAGGCUAAUGAGGACAUGAUUACCUUGGAUAAGACUAAAAAUAUUGCAUACAUGCAUAUUGUCAGGUGAUUUCUAGUGCAAACUAUUCAAUAAUCUAUUUAUGUUAUCCAGAACAAAAAUACUUCACACACUUUUGUGUUUUGUCUAAUUGCAGAUGUAUGGGACAUUUGUACAAUCCAUAUAUGAAGAUAAGGGAAAAGGAGAAGUUUAGGUGUUGUUCAAAAAGUCCUCUCACGUCACUUUUGGGCCAAGAGAAGAUAGAGUCCAAGCCUCUCACGUUCUGGAUUCAGAUUCGGACUGCACAGACAUACCUAACUCAAAACGCCAACAACUUUUUCAUACAGACUCCGAAUUGGGUGAUUCAUUUUUUGUUGGAAAGUAGAUUUCAUGCUCUCUCCAACCCAGCUAGAAUCACCUUAAAAUCCAUCCGUAGCGUUGAGUUAUGGAUGAAACAAUCUGUUGCUGCACCAGAAUCCGAGUCAAACUACAAGUCCAAAGGUGUUACGUCACCUCCACUUGGGCCCAUUGGCCUUGUACGACCUAGGGUUAGUUUUAGGCUGCCUUGGGACGUCCUCCCACCUCCUUGGCCGCCACCCCUUGCUCCUAUAUAAGUAGAUCCAUCUAUUAGCUUUUCCCUUGGGAUUUGUUUAGUUAAAAGUUAGCGAUUGCAACUUCGUGUACUUCGUUUGUGUCCAACGACCACACCAAGACCGCCUACGGAUCCCCACUUUUACCAAUACUUCAUCCAUACUCGCAAUAUUCAGAUUGCUUUCUCAUAUUCUUGCUUGUUCUUCGAUUGCUUGCAGGAAUAGACCUUCGUGGUCAGGCUGAUCGUGCUUCCGGCAUCGUCAGUAACCUCAGGAGAUUGGUUUAGCGAUUGCUAAGGCUUAACAUCGUGCAUGUUUGUAGUCGGAUCGUCAAAGUCGACUCCACAAAAUCGAUAGUUAUCAUCUCAUCGAAAGAUCGGGACACCUUCGCCUCUAUCAAGUGGUAUCAGUUUUCAGGUUGCUCGGUGAGAUUUUCCAAUUAUCCCUAGAUUCGACUUAUUUUCUUACCUAUUGUCCAAGAAAAAGCCACAAAAAAAGUUAGAUCUAUUCAUCAUUUGUCCUAGCGAGUCCAAGCGUUUGCAAUUUUCUUUUGAUUGUUUGCAUCAUUGAAUUAUCGGUUGCAUCAUCGUGUCGAGUUGCUGGUCUUAGUGUCUAGUUCCUUUAGAGUUUCGAGUUCUGUUCACAUUAGUCACGCCGCCGCUGCAUCAUUAUCCCUUCCGCUGUCCAUCAUCCCAUCCAUCAAUUUCCACCAUGUGCUACGCACUGUUCAUUGUCAUAAUCAUAGUUGAGGUCAUUCACAUCUUCGCCUGAUCCAAUCUGUAUCUUAUCUAGUUUGUCUUGGAAAGAGGGAGAAAAAAAAGAUAGAGAAAAAAAAGAAAAAAAGGAAAUAAGAAAAAGAAAAAGAGAGAGAAGAAAAAGAAAAAAAA
rnacentral:lncRNA from 1 species